GUGAGGGAUCUUGCGCAAUGGGCGAAAGCCUGACGCAGCGACGCCGCGUGGGCGAGGAAGGCCUUCGGGUUGUAAAGCCCUUUUGGCAGGGACGAGGGAGGACGGUACCUGAAGAAUAAGUCACGGCUAACUACGUGCCAGCAGCCGCGGUAAAACGUAGGUGGCGAGCGUUAUCCGGAAUCACUGGGCGUAAAGGGCGUCUAGGCGGUCGAAAAAGAGAGACGUGAAAGCUCCUGGCCCAACUGGGAGAGGUCGUUUCAGACUAUUCGGCUAGAGGGUCGGAGAGGGACGUGGAAUUCCCGGUGUAGUGGUGAAAUGCGUAGAGAUCGGGAGGAACACCCGUGGCGCAGGCGACGUCCUGGCCGACACCUGACGCUGAAGCGCGAAAGCGUGGGGAGCGAACGGGAUUAGAAACCCGGGUAGUCC
rnacentral:rRNA from 1 species